rnacentral:rRNA from 1 species
UGAACGCUGGCGGCGUGCCUCAUACAUGCAAGUCGAGCGAACGGACGCGAAGCUUGCUUCUCUGAUGUUAGCGGCGGACGGGUGAGUAACACGUGGAUAACCUACCCAUAAGACUCGGAUAACUUCGGGAAACCGUAGCUAAUACCGGAUAAUAUUUUGAACCGCAUGGUUCAAAAGUGAAAGACGGUCUUGCUGUCACUUAUAGAUGGAUCCGCGCUGCAUUAGCUAGUUGGUAAGGUAACGGCUUACCAAGGCAACGAUGCAUAGCCGACCUGAGAGGGUGAUCGGCCACACUGGAACUGAGACACGGUCCAGACUCCUACGGGAGGCAGCAGUAGGGAAUCUUCCGCAAUGGGCGAAAGCCUGACGGAGCAACGCCGCGUGAGUGAUGAAGGUCUUCGGAUCGUAAAACUCUGUUAUUAGGGAAGAACAUAUGUGUAAGUAACUGUGCACAUCUUGACGGUACCUAAUCAGAAAGCCACGGCUAACUACGUG